UUUCUUGUUUCAAAAUUUCCGAUUAGAAUGUUGGAGCUCUUCGUAUUGGGUUGUACUGGAAUCGUCGUCUUCCUUCACGGCGCCAAUUUCUUCUUCCACCUCCUCUCCCACUCCUUUCCUCUUCGAUCUCUCAGCUUCUUGGGUUUCGUCGGGUGAUCGAUCGCUUCUUGAAGAAAACAAGAAAUCACAGAAAAUGGUUGAAUCUGGAAGCAAAAUUCAUUCAGAUCAUAGGCUCUCCUGUUGUUAGUUGUGGCUGCUUGCGCGGAGCUUCACUAUUUCUGUGAAUAUCUGAUCGUACUGUGUAAAUUUGUAAAUAUGACUACGAUGAACGAUAACAAGGCAAGUAAACUCCUGUAAUAGCUAGACUCGUUGUUUUUGAUUUUUAUUUUUUUGGUUAGAUUAUAUUUCAUGCGGCUCUUCAAUUGAAGGAUUGGACUGUACAUGGGUUUUUUUGAUUGUUAGUUUACAUAGAUUAAA